UUCUGUAGAUGAGGUGUAGUUGUCGUUUGAUUUCCCUCUCCGGCGCUGCGCCCCUCGCAGUGCGUGUGACGCCAGCAGCUGGCAGAUGGCAGCAGGACCCAGGGAAGGCGCGCGGGCCACGAGCGGCUCUCACUAACGGCCGGCGGGAGCGCGAGCGGCCCGGAGUUGGCCCCGCCCGCGGCCUCUGUGAGUGGAGCAACACUCGAGGGCGGUAGUGUUCUCCAGGAGGUGUCCUGCGCUUUCAAACCUUCUUUCUUCAUGAAGGUUUAAAAAGUAAUUCUGCAAGGUCCACCAGGAGCUUUUGCUGCGUGCAGCAGUUGUGCUGCGGGAAGAGCGAGUCGUUUGAAUGAGAGGAACAAAGUGAGAUUAAGACGAGUGCCGGAGAUAAGCGUCUUUGAGGCAUGCUGCUAGUGCUGUACCAGCUAAUACUCCCCAGUGAGCAGGUUGACCUACCCCUCUGUCGACAGACAAGACUUUCUGCUGAGCAAUAGUUUAAGGAGCUAAGGCAACAGCAUCUUCAGUCACCUUUCUACCUCUCGUUUUCUGUGUCAGACAUGAUGUACUAAAUCAAUUUCUGCAGGACAUGAAUUUAUUUGGAAUUUGAAAUCAGAGUGCAUUCUGAAUACUGGAUGAAGAACUUGGAAAUUCCCCUGCAUUUUUUUUUAACUUGACUGUCAAAGUGAAAUCUGUUCAAAAUAAUGCCAUCACAGAAAUAACAAGGCUGAAGUGGCUCCCAAAUUUCCUGUUUUCUGGAACUACAUUGUUGAAAGACUUUUUGUUUUCUUUCUCUUUCCCUCAAAUUCAGAAAAAAUAGGACAUUUAUUUGAGGUUCCUUAUUUGAGGUGUAUUUCCAGUCAUGGCUAUUACGGUCACAGUGUUUAUACUAAUGCUUUGUAGUAGAACUGUGAGUGAAAGUCAGCAAUGGAACUACCCAGCAGAAACUGAAACAUUGGAUUUUGGAUCAGUCCCUGUUGUGAACUAUGAGUCGAAUGUAUAUUAUGAUCCUGGAAUUAUAGGAUUCUUAUUUCAACUGGCACGUACUUUCCUACAUGUAGUGCAACCAAAUAGCUUUCCUCAUGAGUUGAUCAUUGAGAUAAUAAAGCAGAACUACGGACAAGUACUACAUCAAUAUCAAGAGCCAGAAAAGGUUGUUCUGACUCUACAGAUAAUUUACUAUGAGAUUGGUUUCAUCAUCUGUGCGAUUCUGGGAAUUGUGUUUAUUCUUCUCAUGCCUCUUUUGGGCCUAUGUUUCUGCAUGUGUCGUUGCUGUGACAACUGUGGAGGGGAGCUGCAUCAACGACAGAAGAAAAAUGCAGAUUGUCGAAGAAGCUACUUUGCAACAACCCUGUUUUUUGUUACCAUAAUUAUAACGGCUGGAACACUGUGCAUGUUUGCUGCUAACCAAAAUCUCACCAACAAAAUUAAAAGAGUUAAGGAGUUGGUCAACAAUAACUUCCAGGACCUACACUCUCUGCUUGAUUACACACCAAUGCAACUAAAUUACAUUACACAACAAUACAGCAUUGCUAAGAACAACGCACUCUCUGAUAUUAACAAUAUUGGGAGUAUACUUGGUGGUAACGUAAAAACACGCUUUGGAAAAGAUGUAAUCCCUGCACUUGAGGAUUCCUAUGACUUGGCCAGAGCCAUCAAUGAAACCAAGGAAGUUUUAGAGAAGGUGGCGACCUCGCAUCAAAUGUUAGAUAACGCAACUAGCAAACUUCAGGCAAACUUGACCGAUGUGCGAACAAGUCUCAACAACACAUUGAAUGAUGCAGCUUGCAAAGUACCUGAUGCAAUUAUACAUUGUGACAACAUAAGGGAUUCACUGGACUAUCUCAAUAUUAAUGCAAACUUUAGCCAGUUAAAAGAUGUUGAUUCUGAACUGAAGAAAGUAAGUGAUGUGCAGAAAACUGACUAUGAAGACUUGAUUCAGAAGGGAUAUUCAGCAUUUAAUAAUACUCCAGAAGUACUUCAAAAUGAAACCAAAUCAUUCGCAUCAGAUGCAAAAAGAGUACUCAAUGAAGUUGAAGAGCGAAUUUCAAGUUUAAGUAAGGAGCCUGUCAUUGGCGAUAUAAUUAAUACCUCUACGACUUAUCUUAAUCAGGGUCAGAGAUACUUUCUUGAGUAUUUUCCACAUUUGGAAAAAUAUGAUUUCUACAGAUGGCUUGCUGGUGUUGCCCUCUGCUGUGCUGUGAUUCUUAUCCUUGCCUUCAAUUAUCUUGGUUUGCUUUGUGGAACAUGUGGCUUUGACAAGCAUGCUUCUCCAACCACAAGAGGCUGUGUAUCAAACACAGGAGGCAACCUUCUUUUAGCUGGAGUUGGAAUCAGCUUCAUCUUCUCCUGGCUUAUGAUGCUGGUAGUUUUGGUGACCUUCAUUGCAGGUGGAAAUAUUGAAAAACUUGUUUGUCAGUCUUUAAAAGACAAGAGUUUAUUCAAGGUUCUGGACACUCCUUAUUUGUUAAACUCACAAUGGAAACAUUUCCUUUCUGGAUUUCUGUUUUCUGAACACAACGUAAAUGUCACUUUUCAAAGUGUAUACAGCAAAUGCCGCAAAAAUGAAGGAAUAUAUUCAGCUUUACAGCUACAAUAUUUAUUUAACAUAGAUCGUGUAAAUCUCAGUGGGCAUGCAACUUGUCUGACUGAGAAUUUCACAAAGAUUAAUGUGAAUUUAAGUAAUAUAGUAAUAUUGGAUGAGGAGGCCAAAAAGAGUCUUCAUGAUUUUGGUGAAACUGGCAUUGACACAAUUGAUUUCACCGCCUACUUCGUUGAGCUCAAGAAAAGUGUGACUAAGACGGAUCUUCGCACAUUUGCGAAUGAUCUAGAGGCGAAAGCGAACUCAUUGCCUGCAGGAGCCCUAGCGAAUGCAUUAAGAGGCCACGUAAACAAUAUUCGAGCAAUCCACAAGCAGCAAGUUAUACCACUAGAACAAACUUUGAACACAUUGAAUGAAAGUAUUGGAACCCUCCAAAACUCAGCAGCAAACUUAAAGAUAAAAGUGGGAGGUAUACUUAAUUCUGUUGAAGCCGCUCAGUACCUAAUCAACAACAAUGGUACCGACAUUGUAAAGCAGGAAAUGUAUAAUUACUGCGAGACUGUAGUUGGCUACAUUACUGAAUAUUUAGAAUGGAUCGAGGAUGCUAUGAACAAUGAAGUUGCGGUCUGUAAGCCGAUUGCUAAUGCUGUGGAUGCAGCUGAUAUGAUACUGUGCGGUUUUAUACUGGAUUCCCUGAAUGGUUUUUGGUUCGGCCUUGGAUGCUGUACAGUAUUUUUAAUACCAAGUAUUAUAAUUGCUGUGAAACUAGCCAAAUUCUAUCGGCGGAUGGAUACAGAGGACGUUUAUGAUGACAGUCCUCCUUAUGAUACUUUGACCAGAUUCCCCAGAGCUUCAGCUCCUCCAAAGCUCUCUGGUUGGUGAGAUACUCCUGGGUUGUUAAGCAGUAUUAUGGAAUACUGGUAGACGCAUUGGGCAGCUUCUUGAAGGAGGACCAUCAAACAUUUUGGUGGGUGCAGCAAUCAAUAGACAUCUUUAUAUACCCUGCAAAAAAGGCCUUCAGAGGCAUCUGCCCCAGUGCAUUUCUUAGUCAGUGUGCACCUUGUUAUUCUCUUUGAUAUUCAGAUGUAUAUUCAGAAUAAACAGUUGAACACUUGGAAAGUAUGUUUUCAUUUCUGUAGUCCCCUAUCCUACAUCUUGGCGUAGUAUCUGACUAUGUAAAAUCAUAAUGCUAUUUUUUUGCUCACACUUUAUGUUAGCAUUUUCUUUUUACUGUUUAUUUCCUUAUAGACAGCUUUCAUUACUUCUUUAUUCUGGAUAUUGUGUAUUAUAAGGCUAUUGAAUUAAUCAUUCUUGUAAUUCUUAAUGUAGUUAAUUUUGCAUACUGUUAAUCAGGUUAAAUAUUUUGUAUAUGUGGAAUGUUGAUUUAGCAAUUCUUAAAUGCAACAAUAUACUUAAAAAUUGAAUGCUAAUUACAAUUGAUGGAUUUGUACUUCUGUAUUGUAUGGCUAGCUGUAGAUUUUGGGGGUGGGGAGAAAUAGUUUAUUACAGUUUAUCAUGCCUUUUGUUAAAUGAGAUGCAAAUUUUGAGAGUUUGCAAUAGUAAAUAGUGAGCUAUUAUACAAGAAAAUCCAAUUACUUUUCUAAAUUAGAUGGUAUCUUUAACUGUUUUGUUUGAAGAUGUUUAUGCUACAAUUAAUGUAGAAUAUUGUAGUAAUAUUGGUUAGAUCUUUGAAUUUACUGUACUACUGCCAUAAUCUAAUAAUCAUGUGCGCCAUUUUAUAUUUAAGGUGCACAAUAUCCAAAGCAUUUAAACACAACUUUGUGUCUUGCAUUGUGUCCUUCAGGUUCUGUCAUUGUUAAGUAGAAUGU